AUACUUACCUGGCGUAGGGGAUACCAUGUUCACGCAAGCGGUUCUGCCAGGGCGAGGCUGCUCCAUUGCACUACGGAGUGGUUGACCCUUGCGAUUAUUUUUUUUAUGAAUAAAAAAUUAUAAUAAAAAAUGUAUACCCGAAUAAUUAUUUUCUUUAUA
rnacentral:snRNA from 9 species